GUUUCUUUUUGUUCGUCUAUGUGAUUUAUGAUUCUUCUCACCUCUCAGGGCCUUGAAUUUCGUCUAGAUUUCAAUUUUUAGAAACCCUGAUAAUUUCCCCAGCUUUUGAGGUAAAACUGCUAUUCGUUCUUAGGGUUUCUUAAAAGGGAAAUGCUAUGAACUCGUGUUUAUCUUUCAGCAGAACCAAACAAGAAUUUUUAGCCGGCA
rnacentral:misc_RNA from 1 species